rfam:Ensifer sp. Root278 contig_4, whole genome shotgun sequence.
UUACCCCAUGAUGCUCAGGUCCGCCGCAUCUCCUGGGUCGUGGGGUCGGUCGGUUGGCUUUUGACUUCUGCGGAAUCCUCGUGCCGCAGUCAGACGCCAGCCGACCCCCUU